GUCCGUAUGGCUCAGCGGAAGAGCGUCCCCUUCACACGGGGAAGGUCCCAGGUUCAAUUCCUGGUACGGGCAC
rnacentral:tRNA from 1 species